rnacentral:rRNA from 1 species
UCAAACUUGAGAGUUUGAUCCUGGCUCAGAACGAACGCUGGCGGCAGGCUUAACACAUGCAAGUCGAACGCCCCGCAAGGGGAGUGGCAG